rnacentral:tRNA from 1 species
AAAAAGAUAAGCUAAAUAUUAAGCUUUUGGGCUCAUACCUCAACUAUGAAUUUUUAUUCUCUUUUUA